UCUACCAGCGCUUCAGUCUAACGUCCGCAUCCGCACAGUCAACAACCCCUUAUCACGAGCUUCUCUUGGAUGCAGUUUCGACGUUGCGCGUGUUAGAGUCCCUCCCUAUUCGGAAAACUUACAUUAACCGUAUGUACUUUUAUCAUUUGAUAGAGAAUUAGAUAGAGUGUCUUACCAUCAGUUUCCAAACACGAUGGACAAAAUUCUCUUUCCGUUACUCAAUUUUCAACCGGGGUCCUUCGACUAUUCGACUAAUUCCAUCUGUUCAAGACAAGAAAGAUUCAAGCACUAUCAUCGAUUCGUCUCUUAACGUUUUUACAAAACCUACUAAUUACAAGCAGACUUUUUUCUCGUCGUCGACUUUUGACUCGCAGUGAUUUUUCUCCGUUAGCGAUACGCUACUCAUUUUGGUACUAGUAUAGUGUUUUGUGUCAAAGUUUUGGAUAAUUCGUUGGGGUUAUGUUCGUUAGGUUAUCCUAAUCUUUCUAGAUGAGUGAUUGCAUAAUAUUUGUACUGUACAUAUAUGUAAAUUUAUUCUUCUGAGGAAAUAAAUCUAUCUUCAUUUUUUGAAACAAGAUUUUCCGGUAACUAAUUGGAAAUAUAAAGUAUAUUCUUCGCUAGGUUGUCAAUUUUUACGAAGUCCUAUUUCUCUACCCUCUUAAGCGGAAAACUCGUUGCGAGUUUCGCUUCAAGUUUAAUUCCGAAAUUUCUUAUCUGAUGUACAAGCUCUAACGUAGAUCCACAUUUCGUAUUUAAAAAGACUUGAAAGCUAAGUGAAUUGAUUUGGAGAUUCGUCGACAACGAAUCUUAGCAUAGUUCUUCGUUUUGUUUAUUCUCUAUUUCUCGAUAGAAGAUUUUAUCAAGUUGCAGUUAUUCUCGAUGGGUGAAUCGAGACACACGAGGUUCUCCGUUUCAGUCGGCUCCUAGAACUGAUUCGAUUCUACUGUUUCAUUCAUUUUUAAUUGGACGUUGCUGUCGACAAUGGCACCUGUUCCUGUUUCAUGCGGGUACGCACAUGACACGUCACGUGGGGGCCGCCAGAGUUGUCGACUCGUGCCUCGGUGUUGCACGUGACAUCUCGACUUUCUGACGAACACCACAGAGAAAAGUGGGGUCAUCGUGCUUUAAACUGUGAAACGAAGAGGCGGUGUGACCCGUUUCAUAACGAGCGGCAACGCGAUCGACCGGCCGAGCAAGUAAUCGUGGCGAUUCUCCGUCAAUCUUCGCCUGAUACGGCCCGACCAUUACGAAAUCCUUUCGACGUGUAGCCGAAGAACAAGAUCGAAGACAGGUUCGCAUCGACGAUAGCUUGGCGAGAAUGGGUUUUCAAUGUGCUGCUCGUCGGUGUGCGCAAAACUUUCAAGUUUCGUCUGGCUGGCCUUUCGUGACUACUAGCCCGGUGCAAACGUUAAAUUAGCCUUUCAGGAUGAAACAACAAAUUUUGGCUGCUGUCGAUCGAACCGGCUGGAUAGUCAGAGUCGUUAAUUCGCGUUAAAGUGCUAAUAAGCGUUGUGGUCGGAACGUUCCGCCAAUGAAACCGGGAUGUCCUGAUCUCUUGGGUGAUUCAAGGGACUUAGCUCGUACAUUAUGUCAGCGUUUAAGAAGCGAACAGCGAGGAAAGAAAUCCAGCCUUUGUUGAGAAACUUUGCUCUCGGGAAUUCCGGGCUCGGAACGAGGCAGCAUCCAGCUGCUUUUAAUUUCCAACUAAAAAACGAGAAAGGAAAGAGUAGAUGCUCGCGUCUCCUGGCGACUAUUCGUGAAAAUUGAACGUCAGUCUUCCACAAACGAGACGUUUUAGAUGUUUUCCCUCUUUUUUAAGGAGCAUUAAAUAAACGAAAAAUUGCUACAAGUUUUAGCAAUCAUAUCCAGUCGUUCAAAAAUGAUAUUUAGCCAUUAAAUCGCUAGAAUUAUUUUCAUUCGAUCUAGUGCCUAUAUUUUUUGCUGUAUAAUUAUGUUUAGCGAUAAUCGCCAAUUUUAACACGAUAAGAAAAUAUAAUGUAAUAUAGUUUAUAAAUUACAGAAGCAUAUCAAGCUUCUCCAAAUACUAAUAAAACUUACAUUUACGAUGCCUCUAAAAAAAGCAACUGUAUUGUAUGAAUUUCGAUUAAUCGAAAUAGUUUCUCUCGAAAUAUUUUAAAUCGGUCAGAACUCACGUUGAAAUAAAAAAAAAUUAAAAUAAAACUAAAUUAAUAAUCAACUUAAGCGUUGCACUUAAUUAAUAUUUCCAUAAAAUAUUAUUAUAUAUAUUGUAUUUCUAACUUGCUCUCGAAUGCUUAGCUACGUAAUUGCGUAACUGCUCCACUUUCUGCGACAAGGCCGAUCAUCUUAUUAUCAUUCCGAGGGAAAAAAACUGCACGGUGAAUUUUGUUCAGAAAGGGAAAGAAAUAUCAACUUAUCGUUUACUACGUCUCACAUAUUUUCCACAAAAUUAAUAUAUCGUGUUACAUCAUAAAUUACCGUAUACCGUAAAAAUUAUCGGAAAUGUAAAUAAUACGUUACAGCCGUCGAAAGUUGAGAAAGAAUUUAAUAAAAAAAGGAAGAAAAUGGAGAAGGCACUUACUAGCAGACGAAAGAAACGAAAGGUGAGAAGCUAGUUGGGAUAAACGUUAAAAAGAGAAACUGGAAGAAGGGGGAAAGAAGAGAGAAAGAAAGAGGAUCGCUCUUAAGUUAUUAUUAAGGUAUAUUUCCCCGAGGGAUGUUUCGCUUCAGCUCAACUAAUGACGGCAUCGGAGUAGGAACAAAUUUGAACGAACCCGACUUUGUCGCAUCGUACCUCUUUCGUUCGCGUGCGCUAAUUUCUCCUUCGUCUUCGUAUAUCGACUAGCUUUUUUAAUAACAUUUUCCUCCUAAUAAUAUUAUUCGAUAGAAAUGAAAGACGUUAGUCGGUUACAUAAUUUUUUAAUCAUCAAAAUAAUUAAUGAUAUUAUUUACGAGAUAUUAUUAAUUUCUUGAUAUAAACACUUACUUCUUUCUAUAUUUAUCCCAGACGUCCUAGAUUAUGAAGAUUUUAUUAAAAUUUAAUAGUAAAUUUCGAUUUAUAUAAGAAAAAAAUAUCAGAAAUAUCGCGAGUCCUUUCAUCUCCGCAAGAGUUUUUUCUCGAUGAUAGACUCGAUUCAGCUAAUAAUAAGUAUGUACAUAGCUAUUUUUCCUUCGCCUGGAAGAUGCAUCGUACCGAAUAAAUUACACGGCUUUAGUAUUCGUUAUUUGUCGAUACGAUGCACAGACACGUACUACUUACAAGUUAUUCAAUAAUAGAUUCCUUUUACCUUUUAAUUUCUUGCAUAAAAUCUGAAAGACGUUUCAUCAGUUAGUUCGAUUACAUAAUCGCUACGCUGUCCAUUAGAAAACGCGCAAUACUUCUUUAAAGACGAUGCUAAUGCCAGUAAUUCGAUGCAGUCUGCAUGAAAAUCUAUUCUAAUCUAAUUACGACAAGGAGUGAAUAAAAAUAGAAGAUAAAUUCUCUUAGAAAAACGUCAGA